CCUUCAAUGCCAAAUGCUCUGGGGUCUCCUCUUCACAAUGCCAGACCAUCAAUCUGGGUAAUGUGAUGUGGAGCUCAGAACACUCACUCCUGUGGAAGAGCAUCUGUGAUGUAAUUAUUUUACAGUCUUAGGGUCACCUACACAGUGGGUAUGGAAUUUCCUAUAUCAUGCAAGUGCCCCUCCUAUUGUUCAAUGUGGCUUCUUCUUUGUCUUUGGGUGUGGGAUAUAAUUUCUGGUAAUUUCCAGUCUAUUUUAUUGAUAGUUGUUCAUCAGUUAAUUGUAAUUUUGUUGUUUUCAUGGGAGAAGGUGAGCUUAACUUCUUCUACCUUGCCAUCUUGUCCCCAGGUGUUCAUUAGAAUUUAAAAGCCAAAUUUCACCAUUUUAAAGAUUACAAUUCAGUGAUUUUUUAGUACGAGGUUAUACACAUAUUAUCACAGAUUCUAGAACAAUUUUACCAUCCCAAAAUAAGAUUUUUAUUUAUUAGCAGUUCCUUCCAAUCCCCCACCCCCUAUAAACCAUUCCUCUUUAUCUCUGUGAUUUUUCCUAUUCUAGACAUUUUAUGUAAGUGGAAUCAUAUAAGGAAGCCAUUCUUUAGCAGAAGCGACUAAAGCUGACACAUAAAAAAAGAGAGAGAGAAAGGAAGGAAGAGCAGAUUAACUCAUUUAACUUAUUUUAUCUAUAAGUCUUCCUAGACUCUCACCACUAGUCAGGAGGGAAAAAAUAUCCAGUAAUUUUAAAGAUUAGUCAAAUAUAAUGAUAUAAAACUUUGAUUCAGCAAAAGAUCAGGUUAUUUUGAAGAAAUUGGCAAAUCCUUGGUAAUAUGAAUCCUUCUUUGAUUUAGCAGACAGAGGCCAUGCUUUGGGAUCAGAGUAUACUAGAUUUAAAUCCAUGAUCUAUCAUCAACCAGCUACGUCACCUUGGGCUAGUCAUUUCCUUCCUUGAAUUCUCAAAUUUCUUUUUCUGAUAAGUCAGGAUAAUAAUUUACAGAGCUUUUGGAAAUAUUAAGUGAGAUUACAUAUGAGAAGAAUAUAAUACUCUUCCUGGAAUAGGUGAUACGUUCCAUCCCAGGCAUAUGAGGAAUGCACAAUCUACAGAAAAGAGUAAUUUCCCUUCUAUAGUGUGGAGAUAUUUCUGGGAGAAAGCUUCCCUACCAGUGACUAAAUUUUUCAACUUCACUUGUGUGAACUGGUGGUGAGCUACAUCUCUCUAGUGGUAUGUAAGUGCAUGGGAUGUGUAUUGCUCUGGGCAAGGUCUUUUUUUCUUUCCUUUUUUUUUCCUCUUAUUAUUUUGUAUUAUUUUAUCUUUAUUUUUUAUCACUUUAUUAUUAUGUAUUAUUAACCUGCUGACUUUUCGAAGUAUGUAUGAUGAUUGUGCUUACCUUUAGGUCUUUGUUGCUUAUCAGAUAUAUAUCACAUAAUUAAAAUUUUUUAUCUCUUUCAUACUAAACUUGGGAAAGUCUAUUUCCACAUAAAUGUCUAAGCACCACAACUGAUAUUAUUUUUAAGAGUACAGAGACUAAAUGAGCUUGGAAAAGAUGGCAGAAUAGCAAGAACUUGAAGCUCACCCUCUCUCAUAGGCACACCAAAAUCACAAAUAUUUGUAGAAAAACUGUUGAUGAGAAAGACUAAUAUAGCAGAAGAGAUCUUCUACAACUAAUAAUAUAAAGGAACCACAGCAGGACAGAUAGGAGGGAUAAGUCAUGGUAAAGUCAAGACCCAUACCACUGGUUGGGCAACCUGUAAGCAGAAGGAUAAUUACAAUUGCAUAAGUGCUCCGUAAUGAGCAGUAGGUUUGAACCCCACAUCAGGCUCUUCAAUCCAGGGUCUUCACACCAGGAACAUGAGCUCCCAGAGUGUUUGGCUUUGAAAGCUAGUAAGGCUUACUUUUAGAAGGUUCAGUGGAAAAUAGAGACUCUACUUUUAAAGGUCACAAAGAUCACACACUAAGGGACCCAGGGAAUGAGUGGCAAUUUUAAAGGGGCCUGGUCAGAUCCAAUUACUGGUCCAAUUGGACCUCUAGCCUGGCAACCUCCAUAUGCCAUGGGUACAACUCUAAAAAGACAAAAAAAGUUUCCUGGAGAGGCAAGAGAUAACUGCAGUUCACCCAGGGUACAUAGACAUGGCAGCAGUCAUUUGUGGGAACUCGUUCUACCACGUGGACAAUGAUAUUGAUGAGUGCCAUUUUUGGAUUCAUCCUUCUAGCUUUAUGGUACCAGGCUACAGGUAUCCCCACUAAUCAGCUUGUAGGCAUCAGUAUUGGGACACCUCAUGUCAAGACCCUGGAUCCACAACCACCCAACAAAGAAUCCAUAUCUGCCCACCAGCGAGCCAGCACUAGCCCCUUAACUCCCAGUCUCCACAGCCAGUUGCCUUAUGACAUGGCCCUACCAACCAGUGACUGACAAUCUCUGCCAAGGCAGAGCCUUGCAUAUAAUUAGACCAGAGGUCAGCCACACUACAAGACUGCCCACAGUAGUCAAGCUGCCACAAUAGAAGGACCCAUGCCACCCAUAUAGGGGGCAAUCUUAGAACAGAUAAUUCUGAUAACUAUAGGGGAGUGAAAUGCUGGGAUGCAUAGGAUGUUUCUCUCCAAGGUCAGAAAAUGUAACCAACCUACCAGAUAAAUAGAAUGAAAAUGGCACAUUAGGCAAAUGAGGUGACAGAGGAACACAUUUCAAACAAAGGAACAAGAUAAAACUCCAAGAGAAAAACUAAGUGAAGGGGAGAUAGGCAAUCUACCUGAUAAAGAGUUUAAGUUAUGGUCAUAAAAAUGAUCGAAGAGCACAGGAGAAAAAUGGAUAAACAUGGUGAGAAGUUACAAGUUUUAACAAAGAGAUAGAAAAAAAGAACAACUAAAUUGAAAUCAAGAAUACAAUAACUGGAAUUCCCAUUGUGGCAUAGCAGAAACAAAUCUGACUAGGAACCAUGAGGUUGUGGGUUUGAUCCUUGGCCUCGCUCAGUGGGUUAAGGAUCCAGUAUUGCCAUGAGCUUUGGUGUAUGUCGCAGAUGCGGCUCAGAUCUGGCAUUGCUGUGGCUCUGGCUUAGGCUGGCAGCUUUAGCUCUGAUUAGACCCCUAGCCUGGUAAUUGCCAUAUUCUGUGGGUGUGGC
rnacentral:lncRNA from 1 species